rnacentral:rRNA from 1 species
UACGUAGGGGGCAAGCGUUGUCCGGAUUUAUUGGGCGUAAAGAGCGUGUAGGCGGCUUUGCAAGUCCGUUGUGAAAACUCGAGGCUCAACCUCGAGACGCCGGUGGAAACUGCAAAGCUAGAGUCCGGAAGAGGAGACUGGAAUUUACGGUGUAGCGGUGAAAUGCGUAGAUAUCGUAAGGAAGACCAGUGGCGAAGGCGGGUCUCUGGACAGUUCCUGACGCUGAGGCACGAAGGCCAGGGGAGCAAACGGG